rnacentral:rRNA from 1 species
UACGGGGGGGGCAAGCGUUGUUCGGAAUUACUGGGCGUAAAGGGCGCGUAGGCGGUUCGCUAAGUUGGAUGUGAAAACUCUGGGCUCAACCCAGAGCCUGCAUCCAAAACUGGCGGGCUAGAGUUCUGGAGGGGGUAGCGGAAUUCCUGGUGUAGCGGUGAAAUGCGUAGAUAUCGGGAGGAACACCGGUGGCGAAGGCGGCGACCUGGGUCGAGACUGACGCUGAGGCGCGAAAGCGUGGGGAGCAAACAGG